rnacentral:lncRNA from 1 species
GCAUCAUGUCACCUCUGUGUCACUGUCACCUCUGUGUCACUGUCACCUGCAUCAUGUCACCUCUGUGUCACUGUCACCUCUGUGUCACUGUCACCUGCAUCGUGUCACCUCUGUGUCACUGUCAUUCACGUCAUGUCACCUCUGUGUCACUGUCACUAGUAUCAUGUCACCUGCAUCGUGACACCUUUGUGUCACUGUCACCCGCAUCAUGUCACCUCUGUGUCAUGUCACCUCUGUGUCACUGUCACCCAUGUCAUGUCCGCUCUGUGUCACUGUCACCUGCAUCAUGACACCUCUGUGUCACUGUCACCCGCGUCACUGUCACUUCUGUGCCACUGUCACCUGUGUCACUGUCACCUCUUUGUCACUGUCACCAUGUCAUGUCACCCGCAUCGUGUCAGCUCUGUGUCACUGUCAUUCACGUCAUGUCACCUCUGUGUCGCUGUCAGCUCUGUGUCACUGUCACCCGCAUCACGUCACCCGCAUCAUGUCACCUCUGUGUCACUGUCAUUCACAUCAUGUCACCUGUGUUACUGUCACCUCUGUGUCACUGUCACCUGCGUCAUGUCACCCACGUUGUGUUACGUCUGUGUCACUGUCACUCGCGUUGUCACCCGCAUCACUGUCACCUCGGUGUCGCUGUCACCCACAUCAUGUCACCCAUGUCUCUGUCACCUCUGUGUCACUGUCACCUGCGUCAUGUCACCCGCAUCGUGUUACGUCUGUGUCACUGUCAUUCACGUCAUGUCACCCGCGUCAUGUCACCCCUGUGUCACUGUCACCCGCGUCAUGUCACCUCUGUGUCACUGUCACCUCUGUGUCACUGUCACCCAUGUCACUGUCACCNNNNNNNNNNUCACCGUGUCAUGUCGCCCGCAUCGUGUCCCCUCUGUGUCACUGUCCCCUCUGUGUCACUGUCACUCACGUCGUCACCCGCAUCACUGUCACCCGCAUUAUGUCACCCACAUCAUGACACCUCUGUGUCACUGUCACCUGCGUCACUGUCACCUCUAUCACUGUCACUGUGUCAUGUCACCCACAUCAUGUCACCUCUGUGUCACUGUCACCCACAUCGUGUCACCUGCAUCAUGACACCUCUGCGUCCCUGUCACUUCUGUGUCACUGUCACCCACGUCACUGUCACCUCUGCCACUGUCACCUCUGUGUCACUGUCACCUCUGUGUCAGUCACCCGCGACAUGUCACCUCUGUCACUGUCACCCCUGCGUCACUGUCACCCGUAUCAUGUCACCUCUGUGUCACUGUCACCCAUGUCAUGUCACCUCUGUCACUGUCACCCCUGUGUCACUGUCACUCACAUCGUCACCCGCAUCACUGUCACCUCUGUGUCGCUGUCACCUGUCACUGUCACCCACAUCGUGUCACCUCUGUGUCACUGUCAUUCACGUCACAUCACUUCUGUGUUACUGUCACCUCUGUGUUACUGUCACCUGCAUCAUGACACCUCUGUGUCACUGUCACCCACAUCAUGUCACCCGCAUCACUGUCAUCUCUGUGUCACUGUCACCUGCGUCACUGUCACCUCUGUGUCGCUGUCACCCGCAUUAUGUCACCCGCAUCAUGACACCUCUGUGUCACUGUCACCUCUGUGUCACUGUCACCUCUGUGUCACUGUCACCCAUGUCACUGUCAUCUCUGUGUCACUGUGACCCGCAUCACGUCACCCACAUCAUGACACCUCUGUGUCACUGUCACCUGCGUCGUCACCCGCAUCACUGCCACCUCUGCGUCACUGUCACCCGCAUCACUGUCACCCACAUUGUGUCACCCACGUCACUGUCGCCUGUGUCACCCUCACCUCUUUGUCACCACGUUUCCCGUUCCUUGUGUCCCCUGUCACCCCUGUGACGCUAUCACCUCUUUGUCACCACUCUUCCCGUGUCUCGUGUCACCCGUCAUCUCUGUCCCCUUUGUGUCACCUGCGCCGACUGUUGCACGUGCAACCUGUGCCCCGUGCCGCCCAUCGUCCCGGUCUCCUCGGUCCCUGUCACAUCUGUCACCUGUGUCCUUGCUGCUGUGUUCCCAUCGCCUGUGUCACCCAUGCGUCCUUGUUGCCUCUGUCACCCGUGUCUUCUGUCACCUGUGUCACUUGUGUCCCUGUCACCCGCGUGCCACCUGUGUCACUUGUCACCUCCGUCCGCUGUGUCCUUGGCAUUUUUGUCAUUUGUCACCCUGCCACCUGUGUCCUGUCACCUCUGCUGCCUGUGUCCCCGUCACCUCUGUCACCUCUGCCGCCUGUGCCCCUGUCACCUCUGUCACCUCUGCUGCCUGUGUCCCCCGUCACCUGUGUCCCCCGUCACCUGUGUCCCCCGUCACCUGUGUCCCUUGUAUCCGUGUCACUUGUAUCCGUGUCACUUGUGUCCUCUGUCACCUUUGUCACCUGUGUCUCCCGCUGCCCCCCCCCCGUCACCUCUGUCAAACCUGUCCCGUGACACCCGUUAUCUCACUUGUCACCUGGGCGUCACUUGCGUCCCCUAUCGCUUCUGUCCCCCGUGUCACCCGUGUCGCUUUUGUCACCCGUGUCCCCGCAGCCUGCACCCCUCGCUCCCGCUGUUGGCCACGUCCUCGGGGCAGCGCGUCUUCCCGGCGCCGUGGGACAGCGACGAGGACGGGGGGGACGAGGACGACCCCCCCCGGCGUGGGGACAACCGCCUGCAGCUGUGGUGGUGGGGGGGUGACAGCGCCGACUGCCACGGGGACGUCACCGAGCCCUGUGGGGACAGCAGUGAGAGCUAUGGGGACAACAC